UCCAGUAGGGGGCGGGAAAGCACCUUCUAGGUUGGCUGCCAAACGCCAAUAAACACCAAAGAAGAAAGAAAGCAAGAACACGUGUUUUUGUAUUCUCUGUGAAGUCAUCAGCUUUUCCAAGCUAAAAUGUCAGAAUUUCCAGAUUCUACUUGCAAAACAAAUUGUAUUAUAUCUGGUCUUAAAAUUCUUAUGAUUCAGAUGUUUACUGAUCGGCGUAGAAUCAGAUUAAAACACUUCAGUGGAACACGUGGGUGGAGGUGAACAGAUGAAGAAGAGGAACGAAGGUGGAUUCAUAGUUAAUUUCGAUGACCAGAGACUUCCUCGUGUUUCAUAAGAAAUCUGAGAUUAAAGAUCUCUAAAGUCUGCAUUAAAUCAGAUACAUCAUUUGCAGAUAAUAUCUCUAAUGAUUUUGGAUCCUCGGGCCCUGAUGCCUUGGGAUUAUCGGAGAUCCAUUAAUGAGGUGCUGGAUUUGUGAGAAGACACAAGAUUGAAGCUGCAAAUUUAUUUUGCCAUAUACUAUGCUGUAGGUAGUGUGUAGUCUACUGUGUGUAGUUUGAUAGACAUUUCUGGUCUAUAUAUCGUACUGCUCUUAUGUAAAUGUUUUUAUAACACAACUUUGUAUUAAAGCUGCAGGAAGUAUUAAACCAUAGUUGAGAAUAAUGAUGAUACCGGGAUGAUCCUCUUAAUGGAAAAACUGUCUGUUUUAUGCUGAAAGCUAUAAAGACAAACACUAAUGAUUAGCUAAACUUUUAUUCCAGAAUAAUGUAACAAAUCACUUGUUUUAUAUAUUUUAAUAAACAUCAACAUAAGCAUGUUUGGUCACUAUGAGUUAGCAGAAGCUGUGGAGUCAUGUGCUGUGACAGAACCCUAGGCAAAGAGCACUAAUAAAAAAAUGUAGUAUUAAAUGUUAUUGUACAUUUCUAUUUAAAUAUGGAGAGUAACAUUUAUUUUAUAUUUAAAAUAUGAUUAGACUUAAGCAUUAGAUUAAAUCAGUGUACUGAAAUAUAUAUCUAUUUGCUUUAGUAAUAGAUACUAUAUUAACAAUUGUUGUGAAUGAUCACGUUUUUGUCCAGAACAAGCCAUUAUGAUGUUUUACAAGUCUUUCACAACCAUUUAGAGAAAUUAUGCAAGAUCUACUGAGUGCGUCGAUUAAACGUAACCAGUGUGUGUUGUGUCAGAAGAAAUUUCCAUGAUCUGUAAGUGGUACAGAACAACACGUAUGUCGAAGAAGGGGCUAAUAAAACACACAGGAAAAUAAAUGCGGAUCAUUUCACAUGACUUUUUUUUUCGCAGAAAGUUUAAAUAUGAAAAUAUGUGCUGAUUACUGAUUGCAAAAUAUAUUGUUAAUACAUUUUUAUAUUUAAAAAGUGCAAUGUAGAUUUACUG